rnacentral:rRNA from 1 species
AUUGAACGCUGGCGGCAGGCCUAACACAUGCAAGUCGAACGGUAACAGGAAGCAGCUUGCUGCUUUGCUGACGAGUGUCGGACGGGUGAGUAAUGUCUGUGAAACUGCCUGAUGGAGGGGGAUAACUACUGGAAACGGUAGCUAAUACCGCAUAACGUCGCAAGACCAAAGAGGGGGACCUUAUGGCCUCUUGCCAUCGGAUGUGCCCAGAUGGGAUUAGCUAGUAGGUGGGGUAACGGCUCACCUAGGCGACGAUCCCUAGCUGGUCUGAGAGGAUGACCAGCCACACUGGAACUGAGACACGGUCCAGACUCCUACGGGAGGCAGCAGUGGGGAAUAUUGCACAAUGGGCGCAAGCCUGAUGCAGCCAUGCCGCGUGUAUGAAGAAGGCCUUCGGGUUGUAAAGUACUUUCAGCGGGGAGGAAGGGAGUAAAGUUAAUACCUUUGCUCAUUGACGUUACCCGAAGAAGAAGCACCGGCUAACUCCGUG